rnacentral:rRNA from 1 species
AGUCGAACGGCAGCACGGACUUCGGUCUGGUGGCGAGUGGCGAACGGUGAGUAAUGUAUCCCGGAACGUGCCUAGUAGCGGGGGAUAACCAAAGCGUAGCUAAUACCGCAUACGCCCUUCGGGGAAAAGCGGGGGACCUUCGGGCCUCGCACUAUUAAACGCCGAUAUCGGAUUAGCUAGUUGGUGGGGUAACGACAAGGCGACGAUCCGUAGCUGGUUUGAGGAAGGACCAGCCGCACUGGGACUGAACGGCUGAACUCUACAGGAGAGGCAGUGGGGAAUUUUGGACAAUGGGGGAAACCCUGAUCAGCCAUCCGCGUGUGCGAUGAAGACGCUUCGGGUAUUUGUAAAGCACUUUUUGGCGGAAAGAAACGGCACGGGAUAAUACCCAUUGGCAAAACAAGGCCUGCAGAUAAGCACCGGCUAACUGCAUAUGUUCCAGCAGCCGCCGGUAUGUAAGUCCGCGGCAUUAAUCGGAAUUACUGGGCGUAAAGCGUGCGCAGGCGGUUCGGAAGAAAGAUGUGAAAUCCAGAGCUUAACUGGAACUGCAUUUUUAACUAUGACUGAGUGUGUCAGAGGGAGGUGGAAUUCACGUGUAGCAGUGAAAUGCCAUGCGAUAUGCGGAGAGGCCCGCGAUGGCGAAGGCAGCCUCCUGGGAUAACACCCAGGCUCUAUUUUUGAAACGUGAGAACCGUAGGAUUAGAUACCCUGGUAGUCCACGCCUAACGGUAUCAACUAUUUGUUGGGACUGAACCUUGGUAGCGCAACUGGCGUGAAGUUGACCGCCUGGGAAGUACGGUCGCAAGAUUAAGAACUCGAGGAAUUGACGGGGACCCGCACAAGCGGUGGAUGAUGUGGAUUGAAUUCCAGUGCGCGAAAACCUUACCUACCCUUGACAUGUCUGGAAUCCCGAAGAGAUUUGGGAGUGCUCGCAAGAGAACCGGAACUGAGGUGCAUGGCUGUCGUCAGCUCGUGUCGUGAGAUGUUGGGUUAAGUCCCGCAACGAGCGCAACCUUAUCGUGGAUUGCUGCGAGGGCAUCUCAAUGAGACUGCCGGUGAUAUUGUGGCGGAGGAAGGUGGGGAUGACGUCAAGUCGUGGCUAUAUGGGUAGGGCUUCACACGUCAUACAAUGGUCGGGACAGAGGGUCGCCAACCCGCGAGGGGAACAAUCCCAGAAACCCGAUCGUAGUCCGGAUCGCAGUCUGCAACUCGACUGCGUGAAGUCGAGACCGCUAGUAAUCGCGGAUCCAGCAUGUCGCGGUGAAUACGUUCCCGGGUCUUAUGUACACACCGCCCGUCACACCGGGGGCAGUUUUACCGGAAGUAGUUAGCCUAACCGUAAGGAGGGCGGUUACCACGGUAGGAUUCAUGACUGGGGUGAAGUCGUAACAAGGUAACCCUGUUACCAGGUAUCAG